AUUUAAAUUUUGAGGUGAACUAUCCCUUUAAGCAACUAUCUUCCAAGAUCAGUGUUUUCGUCCUCUUUGCCCUAGUUUUCACAAGUAAAAACGGCAGACUGCUGGCAAACAUGUCUCAGAUGAUAAUCUGAUUGAGUUCCCUUUAAGCUAAGCAAUGGCAGGAAGAGAAUGAAAGAUUUGGGCAGACAGAGGCAGAGAUAGGCAUGAAGGCCUCCCAUGAGCGAACAAUGACAUUGAUACUUAAAGCCAAGUGCUAAUGAAGAUGAAUGUAAGGACCACAGGCAAGCCUCUGUCCAUAUUAUUGAGGGUGAUAUGACAGAAGGUCACUUUGAGCAUGAGUCAUCCUCUCACCAGCAGGGGACCAGCAUGGAAGACUUAACCAAUACAGCUAGUUUCAGAGGAAUGCUUGAGGUAUGCCCCUAAACCAAUCCUAAAACCUACUCUACUGUGCAAGGAUGUAAGAUCAAUGAAGUGAGACUGGAGAGAAUUACAUCCAUCUGAAGGAGAUAGAAAAGGGAUUUUGAUAUACUUGUGUGACUACUUCACAAGACAGGAUAUGAAGAAACUGAGCAUGCUUCAUCUUUGAAACAAUUUCCCCUUUGAAACAAUUGA
ensembl:lncRNA